UACGUAGGGUCCGAGCGUUGUCCGGAAUUAUUGGGCGUAAAGAGCUCGUAGGCGGCUUGUCACGUCGGGUGUGCAAAGCCCGGGGCUUAACCCCGGGUCUGCAUUCGAUACGGGCUAGCUAGAGUGUGGUAGGGGAGAUCGGAAUUCCUGGUGUAGCGGUGAAAUGCGCAGAUAUCAGGAGGAACACCGGUGGCGAAGGCGGGUCUCUGGGCCGUAACUGACGCUGAGGAGCGAAAGCAUGGGGAGCAACAGG
rnacentral:rRNA from 1 species